rnacentral:miRNA from 1 species
UUAAACUCUGGCAAGGCUUCG